UGCUCCUGCUGCUAUCAGUAGU
rnacentral:miRNA from 1 species